ensembl:lncRNA
AAAUGCUGAUGAUUUAUGUGGGUUUAUUUUGUAUCCUAUAAUUUUGCUUAAGUUAUUAAUUAUUUCAACUAGUUUUUUAGUUGAUUCUCUAAGUAUGGCAUAUCAUCUGCAAAGAGUUUAGUUUCCUCAUUGUCCAUUUUAAUUCCUUCUAUUUCCACUUCUUCUCUUAUUGCUAAAGGUAAUAUUUCCUGCGACUUCCUGUGGAGAGGGCUUGAGUGGAGUUGGAUCCUGGAGCUUGAGCUUGAGCUUGGAGGAGCCUUGCAUAUAGCUUUCCUUCAGACCGGUCACUUUAAAAAACUAUUCAAGUUGAGCUCUGUAAUUGUGUUGAAGGGAGCACUGUUCCAAGCUUCAGGUUCUUUGUGUAGUUGCCUUUGGAGCUGGCACUGGGGAUCUAUCUGCUUUCAGUUCUUCCAAGGUGGUAUAAGGUAAGGAAGGAGAGGUAUGUUUAAUACUCUCUCAGCUUGUGCUCUGGUCUGUGAGUACCCCUAAGCACUCCUUGGAACUAUGACCAGGAUCCCCUGUUCACAUGUGGCUGAAAGUGCUGGUGUUUGCAAUGUUCCUCCUAACACUGCAACUGCACCCCAAGACUAAGACCUGGCUCUACAUAUGGGCAAUUUAAUAAGAGUCUUGCAUCCAGAAUCAGCAAAGAGACCCUGGUAAUAUCCUUCUGAGCAGUUGUUCAACCUCCUUACCAUCUGUGGUUUAAAAUUCUGGAAGCCUUGGCUGCUGCAUCAGUUGUGCCCAAGGUCUGUUGUCUUGGUGGGACCUUCCUUGGUGUGCUGUGCUCCACCUCCACCUCGGUGCACUAGAUGCCUUGGGCUGGCCUUCUAAGGUGUUUUGGGCCAGAUAGAUACUUUAUCUUGUCUUUUUGUGCAUUAUGUGGCUCCAAAAUUUGUUUUUUGGUGGUGUUGCUUUUUGGAGGGUAAUUUGGUAGAAAUCAGAUGGGUCUCUAUACCUUCUCUACCAUUUUGGCUCUACUACACCCCCCUUCCUAGCUUAGAGAGUUAUCUUGAAGCACUAAGAGGUUAAGUGAUUUGCUCAAGGUCACAAAGUAUGCAUCAGAAGUGAGAGGACUCUAGUUGUUUCUGACUCUCAGACCAAUUCUCCAAUAUUCCAUCCCAUCUUGCAUUUUCCUUAGUACUGUCAACGUGGAAUAUAGAAGCCCCCAAAUUGGUAGCCUAAUAAGAUUCUAUGACCCCCAGUUUAGUUAGAUUAAAGGUGAAAAGCCCCAAGUUUGACAUUGUCACAUGAGAGUUACUACCUGAGGGGAAAGUCCAACCAAUGGAUCUUAAAGUAGUUUAGAUGGGAACAGCUAAUCCCAUCAGGUGUUAAGUAACUCUUGUCCCAAUGGUUUCUCCCCUUAGUCCAAAGUCCUUGACCUAGGCCCUUGGCUGGAUCUUUCCCUUUUGGGUCCCUUGUAAAGCAUCUA